UGGGGAAUAUUGGACAAUGGGCGCAAGCCUGAUCCAGCAAUGCCGCGUGUGUGAAGAAGGUUUUCGGAUUGUAAAGCACUUUCAGCGGGGACGAUGAUGACGGUACCCGCAGAAGAAGCCCCGGCUAACUUCGUGCCAGCAGCCGCGGUAAUACGAAGGGGGCAAGCGUUGCUCGGAAUGACUGGGCGUAAAGGGCGCGUAGGCGGUUGACACAGUCAGAUGUGAAAUUCCUGGGCUUAACCUGGGGGCUGCAUUUGAUACGUGGCGACUAGAGUGUGAGAGAGGGUUGUGGAAUUCCCAGUGUAGAGGUGAA
rnacentral:rRNA from 1 species